rnacentral:rRNA from 1 species
UACGUAGGGUGCAAGCGUUAAUCGGAAUUACUGGGCGUAAAGCGUGCGCAGGCGGUUUUGUAAGUCUGGCGUGAAAUCCCCGGGCUUAACCUGGGAAUGGCGAUGGAGACUGCAAGGCUGGAAUCUGGCAGAGGGGGGUAGAAUUCCACGUGUAGCAGUGAAAUGCGUAGAGAUGUGGAGGAACACCGAUGGCGAAGGCAGCCCCCUGGGUCAAGAUUGACGCUCAUGCACGAAAGCGUGGGGAGCAAACAGG